AUCUGAUGGUACAAAUGAAGCUGGAAAGUUUGAGAACGGGCCCAAGGAUAUAUUUGAGAACAUCAAACACACUGUGUUUGAGAUGGUGAAUAAUGUCUCUUCUUUUGUUCAGCACAUUUUUGGCUUUUCCUCAGAUAACGUUUCUACAGCAGCAGAGGGAAAUUCUCGAUCAUUGUUUUUUGAUAAGACCCUGGGAGCAUCUUUCAUGGCAUUGGCAGUGAUGGUUAUCAUGGUGGUGGUGUUGAAGAGAGGUUGACUUCCAUUUAGGAAGCUGAAAUGUAAAUUUGUCGAGUAUACAGAUGCUAUUUAAAUUUUCUGUUUGGAUACCAUAAAUGGAUGAUAAUAUUUAUGCUGAAAAAUUUAAAUAGCAUCUGUAUACUCGAC
rnacentral:misc_RNA from 1 species